rnacentral:rRNA from 1 species
GAUGAACGCUGGCGGCGUGCCUAAUACAUGCAAGUCGAGCGAACGGACGAGAAGCUUGCUUCUCUGAUGUUAGCGGCGGACGGGUGAGUAACACGUUGAUAACCUACCUAUAAGACUGGGAUAACUUCGGGAAACCGGAGCUAAUACCGGAUAAUAUUUUGAACCGCAUGGUUCAAAAGUGAAAGACGGUCUUGCUGUCACUUAUACAUGUAUCCGCGCUGCAUUAGCUAGUUGGUAAGGUAACGGCUUACCAAGGCAACGAUGCAUAGCCGACCUGAGAGGGUGAUCGGCCACACUGGAACUGAGACACGGUCCAGACCACUACGGGAGGCAGCAGUAGGGAAUCUUCCGCAAUGGGCGAGAGCCUGAAGGAGCAACGCCGCGUGAGUGAUGAAAGUCUUCGGAUCUUAAAACUCUGUUAUUAGGGAAGAACAUAUGUGUAAGUAACUGUGCACAUCUUGACGGUACCUAAUCAGAAAGCCACGGCUAACUACGUG